rnacentral:rRNA from 1 species
AUUGAACGCUGGCGGCAGGCCUAACACAUGCAAGUCGGGCGAGCGGCGGACGGGUGAGUAAUGUAUGGGAAUCUGCCUGAUGGAGGGGGAUAACUACUGGCAACGGUAGCUAAUACCGCAUACCAUCAGAUGCACCCAGAUGGGAUUGGCUAGUAGGUAGGGUAACGGCGUACCUAGGCGACGAUCCCUAGCUGGUCUGAGAGGAUGACCAGCCACGCUGGGACGUAGACACGGUCCAGACUCCUACGGGAGGCAGCAGUGGGGAAUAUUGCGCAAUGGGUGCAACCCUGGCGCAGCCAAGCCGCGUGAAGGAAGAAGGCCUGCGGGUUGUAAAGUUCUUUCGGUAGGGAGGCGUUACCCACAGAAGAAGCACCGGCUAACUCCGUGCCAGGAGCCGCGGUAAUUC